rnacentral:rRNA from 1 species
UACGUAGGGACCGAGCGUUGUCCGGAUUUAUUGGGCGUAAAGCGCGCGCAGGCGGCCUUCCAAGUCCCGCGUGAAAUCGCCCGGCUCAACCGGGCGGGGUCGCGGGAGACUGGGGGGCUCGAGCGAGGGAGGGGGCAGUGGAAUUCCCGGUGUAGUGGUGGAAUGCGUAGAUAUCGGGAGGAACACCAGUGGCGAAGGCGGCUGCCUGGACCUCUGCUGACGCUGAGGCGCGAAAGCGUGGGGAGCGAGCCGG